rnacentral:lncRNA from 1 species
CGGGCUGCGGCCACAGCUCCCGGGGCCCGGGCGGGAAGCUGCCCCGGGGUCACCGCCUUGCAAGUUGUGUCAAGCGGAGCCAAGCUAAACCACAAAGGACAAGCAGCUCGGAGCUUAGCGAGUGCUUCCCAGCUGCCCCCCAGGAGUGCUGGGAGCGAGCCUGAAGAGCUUCCCAGAAGACCCGCAAGGCCGCAGCAGCAUCACUUACAGAAACGGCCCGGAUAGUGUUCCUUCUGGAUUCAUCUUCUGGCUUUGUGAUCUUGGAGGGUCUGAUCCUGAGGAGAGAGGAAAAAAGUAGCACCUGAGAUUUAAAGUACCAGAAGAAAAAGACAACAUUCCAAAAAAAAAAAAAUCUAUAUCUGCGAGAACAGCUUUGGAAAUUUUAAAAAUUAUUUUAAAGGGAAAAUUAAAGACAUCAAUAAAAUCAGGAAGGUGAUUAUGAUGACA